rnacentral:sRNA from 1 species
CUUCGCCGCUGCUGUAGUUCCCCGGCUGGCUGCGGUCGCUGGUGCCAGUGCUCAGGCGCCCGCUGCCCUUGACCUCCCGCCCCGCGAGCCCUAACUCAGCGCAGGAGGACCGGCUGCCGCCGCCGCCGCCGCCAGGCUCUGAUGUUGGUGUCUGGUAGAAGAAGGUUACUCACAGCUCUGCUGCAGGCUCAGAAGUGGCCCUUUCAACCCUCCAGAGACAUGAGACUAGUGCAGUUCUGGGCACCCCACCUGGUGGGGCCUCACUUGGGCCUGGAGACAGGGAAUGGUGGAGGGAUUAUCAACCUCAAUGCCUUUGACCCCACACUCCCAAGACGAUGACGCAGUUCCUAGAGCAGGGAGAGGCCACCCUCUCAGUGGCAAGAAGAGCCUUGGCUGCCCAGUUGCCAGUCCUACCACGGUCGGAGGUAACCUUCCUGGCUCCAGUCACACGGCCAGAUAAGGUGGUGUGUGUGGGCAUGAAUUAUGUGGACCACUGCAAAGAACAGAACGUGCCUGUGCCCAAGGAGCCCAUCAUCUUCAGCAAGUUUGCCAGCUCCAUCGUGGGGCCCUAUGAUGAGGUGGUCCUCCCACCACAGAGCCAGGUCAGUGUCUCCCCACUGCCCUCCCUAGUCACUGGGCCCAUCACAAGGGUGUUCUGAGCUCAGUAGUGAGCCUACUGGAGCCACCUCUCGCUCAAUAGUGCAUUCAACAGAAACUCUACAGGAUUAUACACACGGUAGUAACACUGGCCUUGGAAAAAAAAAGUUAAUGUAUGUGUUUUCCUGGUUACAAAAGCAAUACACCUUCACUGUAGAUAAAAUAGAGAUAAACAUUAAAAAAUUACGUCACCCAUAAUCCCACUGCCCAUGGCUCGGAAUAUUAAUGUUUUUCUGUCUACCUUCCCAGUGUUUCUCCACUCCUGUAUAUGUUUAUACUGUACAUAUACUUACCUUUU